CACGCAGUUAGCCGGGGCUUCUUAGUCAGGUACCGUCAUUUUCUUCCCUGCUGAUAGAGCUUUACAUACCGAAAUACUUCAUCGCUCACGCGGCGUCGCUGCAUCAGGGUUUCCCCCAUUGUGCAAUAUUCCCCACUGCUGCCUCCCGUAGGAGUCUGGGCCGUGUCUCAGUCCCAAUGUGGCCGUCCACCCUCUCAGGCCGGCUACUGAUCGUCGGCUUGGUGGGCCGUUACCCCACCAACUACCUAAUCAGACGCGGGUCCAUCUUACACCACCUCAGUUUUUACCACUGUACCAUGCAGUACUGUGGUCUUAUGCGGUAUUAGCAGUCAUUUCUAACUGUUAUCCCCCUGUGUAAGGCAGGUUACCCACGCGUUACUCACCCGUCCGCCGCUCAGUCACAAAAGCCUUCCUCCGAAGAUUCUGACUUAAGCGCUUCGCUCGACUUGCAUGUGUUAGCACGCCGCCAGCGUUCAUCCUGAGCCAGGAUACAACUCUACG
rnacentral:rRNA from 1 species